GUACUAAUAGAAGUUCUUUAAAUUUAAAGAAUUUGGCGGUAAUUUAUCCUUUCAGAGGGACCUGUCCUGUAAUUGAUAAUCCACAAUAGAUUCUACUUACUUUUGGCUUAUAUACCUCUGUCAUUGAAUAUUUUUAUAGAAGAUUUUCUUAAUGUUGUAUUAAACAAAAUGUUAGGUCAAGGUUUAGUAAUAAGUAAGGAGAGAUGGGUCACAAUUCUUAUAUGAUAGGAUAUAUAUAUGGAAGUAUAUUUUUGAAUAUGGAUUUGGUAGUAAAUUCCUUGACUUUAUGGGGUUGAUAUUGGCUCUAAAUUAUGUACACAUCGCCCGUCGCUCUUA
rnacentral:rRNA from 1 species